UACGUAGGGUGCAAGCGUUUAAUCGGAAUUACUGGGCGUAAAGCGUGCGCAGGCGGCGCCGCAAGUCGAGUGUGAAAUCCCCGAGCUUAACUUGGGAAUUGCGCUCGAAACUACGAUGCUGGAGUGUGGCAGAGGGAGGUGGAAUUCCACGUGUAGCGGUGAAAUGCGUAGAUAUUAGGAAGAACACCAGUGGCGAAGGCGGCUCACUGGUCCGGUACUGACGCUGAGGUGCGAAAGCGUGGGGAGCAAACAGG
rnacentral:rRNA from 1 species